GUGGCCAUAGAUUAGCUGGGAGAUCGUCAGACUGAAGAUCUGAAGGUCGUGUGUUCGAGUCACACUGGCCGCA
rnacentral:tRNA from 1 species